UUGUCUCAAAGAUUAAGCCAUGCAUGUCUGAGUUCGUACCCCGUUCCGCACGGUCAAACCGCGAAUGGCUCAUUAAAUCAGUCCUGGUUCCUUAGGCGACGCGGCCCCCUCGCGGGCGUUCCGGAUAACUGUGGCAAAUCCAGAGCUAAUACGUGCGACUCGAGCCCCGACUCGCCGCUGGUCGGCGGGGAAGGGCGCUUUUAUUAGUGCGAGACCGGCGUCCGUCGGUAAAACGGCGGACCCGCGUCAGGCGAACUCUGGAUAACAGGCUCGACCGCUCCGUCCCUCGUCGGACGGCGGCACGCCUUUCAAGCGUCUGCCCUAUCAAAUGUCGACGGUAGGUCACGCGCCAACCGCGUUGACGACGGGUAACGGGGAAUCGGGGUUCGGUUCCGGAGAGGGAGCACGAGAAACGGCUACCACAUCCAAGGAAGGCAGCAGGCGCGCAACUUACCCACUCCCGGCUCGGGGAGGUAGUGACGAGAAAUAACGGCGCGGGUCUCGAGUCGGGCCCCGCGGUCGGAAUGAGCGCAGUCCAAACCCCUGACGGCGACGACCCAUCGGAGGGCAAGUCUGGUGCCAGCAGCCGCGGCUGAAACUUAAAGGAAUUGACGGAAGGGCACCACCAGGAGUGGGGUCUGCGGCUUAAUUUGACUCAACACGGGAAAACUCACCCGGUCCGGACACCGCUAGGAUUGACAGACCGAGGCUCUUUCUUGAUUCGGUGGGUGGUGGUGCAUGGCCGUUCUUAGUUGGUGGAGCGAUCUGUCUGGCUAAUUCCGAUAACGAACGAGACUCCGGCCUGCUAGUUAGCGCGACGGCGUCCGGCGGGGCGGCGGACUUGGCGUUCUCGCUCGCGUCGGCCUUCGCGGGUCUUCGCGGGCGGGGCGCAAUCCCCUCUCGCCCGCCGUCGCGACCCAAUGGCUUCUUAGAGGGACGGGCGGUGGCCAGCCGCACGAGAAGGAGCGAUAACAGGUCUGUGAUGCCCUUAGACGUCCGGGGCCGCACGCGUGCUACACUGGGGGAGUCAGCGCGGACCGCCUCCCGGCCCGAAGGGCGUCGGGAAAGCCGCAGAGUCUCCCCCGUGCUCGGGAUCGGGGCUUGACCAUUGUGCCCCGUCAACGAGGAAUUCCCCGUAGGCGCGGGUCAUAACCCCGCGCCGAUUACGUCCCUGCCCUUUGUACACACCGCCCGUCGCUACCAUCGGUGGACGGUCUAGCGAGGGCCUCGGACCGGCGGCGAGUCCUCCCUUCGCGGGGCGGGGCUCCUCGCCGGGAAGACGCCCGAACUCGGUCGCUCGGAGAUAGUAAAAGUCGUAACAAGGUUU
rnacentral:rRNA from 1 species